rnacentral:lncRNA from 1 species
GAUCUACAACCUAGCAAACUAGCCUCCUUCUUACUAGCAUUUUUCCAGGUCCUCUCGAACCAGCAUCUUCCAACCUGGUGCUCUCACUUCUCGGACUAGUACAGGUCCAAACCAAAGCCAAAGCUCCAAAAGUCUAAGGAUAAGUUCCUUCUCUAUGGAAGAAAGAGAGUGCCACAGCUAUUGUUUCAAAAGCUCGGAAAUUCCUUCUGGGAACAGCCAGAAGAUAGAAAGACCAGUGCCUGGCCUGCUACUGCUUCGGAUGGAUAAUACGACGUUACUACUCUCCUUCCUGCUUGCCAUUUCCUU